CUUAGAAUUUCAUAGAAAAGUUGACCUAAAUGACCUCUACAAGCCAUUCACCUCCCAAAUUCUGUAGUUCCAUCAACUUAGUAAUUGAAAUACGGCACUAUCCAGAGUCCUAGUUGUUACUAUUACUCUGAAGGCCACAUGAAUCCGUAACAUUUUAAGAUCAGGUGCCCAAGAUGAUUCUCACAGCAACACAAAUUAUUAGCAUUACAACUGUCUAAACAGGAACAGCACACAAUAUGCUAAAAUGAAACUAUUUUAUAAGGGCAGGCUUUGAAACUCCGCAGGACUCCAGGAGGCUCCUGGUCUGGACCGGGCUGAAUAUGGGAGAGAGGCCUGGGCCGCCGCCUGCACACAACCUGUCCAUGACCCUGGAUGGCACAAGCACCUGACUCUGGGAGCACGGUCGGCCCCUCGCAAACAGAAGCCUGGCUCGUGGCACACAGGACAGUUCCCGGGAACCUGUGCGGCAGCUGUCGCCUUACAGAUACAGAGCUCACAGAUGUGGUCAUGUUUCCACCAAAGAGAGGAAGGUGGUGGAGGGAGAACCAACAAGCAGAACAGGAAGGAUCCUCUUUGAGAAUGAGAGCUGUCCGCAUGGUGCAGACGCGGUCCUGAGGCCUCCCGCGUACAAUGCCACUCAGCGUGUCCUUCCAUCUUUCCUCCCGAAAGAAGCUUCCGGUUCUAGGGAGUCCACGUCAUGCAUGUAAGUUAAAAUGUUCUACUGGCCACAUUUUAAAAGAAAUCCCAGAUGAAGUGAACUUCGAUAUUGCAUGUUAUUUAACCCAACAUAUCAGAAACAUUAUCGUUACAACAGAUACUCAAAAUUCUUCUUUCAUACUAAGUCUCUGAAACCCAAGGUGUACGUUACACUUCGGCGUACAUCAAUUUGAAAAAGUCAAUAUUUCCACUGCUCAACCGUAUUAGACAGAAGCUUCUGUAUUAGACAGCUCACAUGUAUUAAAGGGCACAAAGCACUGAGUUAAUCAAAUGGAGAAAAACCAUGCUGUGAGGUUGCUAAGCCUACAGUAGGGUGAAGAUCUUUUUUAAGGGGGUGGAAGGAUUAAACCCCUUGGGCCACUGAGAAUAGGCCCUUGACCUCUGAUGGUCAAUGUGCCCCAUCUGAGAGACUGUUCUCAAAAGUGACUUUUUUCUUAAGCUUACCUUCAAAAUAAUGAAAACACACAAAGAUUUCUAUUUCACAUUCAAUGUGAAGCACUCUUACAUUUCCGACUGAAAACACUGUUGGAGAAGAAAGAACACUAGUGUGGAAUCAGGAGUUCUUUACUCUCAUCUCAGUUCUGCCACCAAACUCAGCGGUGACCUAAAAGAAGACGAUUCAUUUCUCCGGGCCUUUUUUUGUUAAGGGUGCCCCACUCUGCCACUGUAUGAACCCUCACAAACCACCCUUUUAAUAAUCCAUUCUAGAACUUAGUCUACAAGUAGCAUAGAGCUCCUAUUCUAGCUUUUAAAUCCAUGUCCCUCGCUCUUGAAAACCAGACUUGCAUUUAUCUAUGUUCAUAAUUCCAAGAAUUUCCCACUUUUCAAAAUUUCCUACAACUAAAAUACUUCUGGAUCAAAAAUUCUGAACUGAUUUUCAACAACUGAGCAAUCUUUUAUUGUCUAUUGAACUAUCUCACACUCUAAUUUCAUGUCGCCAGUGGUUUCUCUGGCCUGCUUAGUAUGACUCUUCGGGCCUUUCAAUCAUUGAUACACUGGGAACACAAGGGAGAUGUGAAGCUGAGGCAGUCUUUACAGAGCAGGCGCUCCAGGAACGAGUGAAAAACAACAAAUGAGUACAUCAUGAAGCAGGAUAUCAAGGGCUGAGUGUACUCCUGUAACAGGUUAGGAAAAAUCUCUCUCAGGUUAUUUGGGCAGGGACUUGGACUAAAGAACUAAUGAGAGAUCUAAGAGCACCGAGCUCCAGACAGAGGGAAUCAUAAGUACAAAGACCCUACGAUGGGGUGAACCUGGCAGAAUGACCUUAAAGGGCUGAAGAGAUAGAAAGAAAUAAAUGUGGUUACAACAUGAGAAGCAGGGGCCAGGGAUUUAGCUCAGUGGUUCUGCUACGUGCCUCGUAAGCUCAAGGUCCUGAGUUUGAUUCCCAGUACAGAAAAAAAAAAAAAAAAAAAAAAAAAAAAAAAAAAAAAAAAAAAAAAAAAAAAAAAAAAAAAAAAAAAAAAAAAAAAAAAAAAAAAAAAAAAAAAAAAAAAAAAAAAAAAAAAAAAAAAACAUGACAGGCAGGUGAAGAGGCAAUAGUGGGAGCUAAUUUUGUUAUUAAAAACAAUCAAAAUUCAACUGGAGUAUUUUAACCUGGGGAAUAACAUGAUCUGAUUUAUAUUUUUAAAAGAUCACUCUGGCUGCUGUAUGAGAAAUAAAUUGUAGGGGUCCAGAACAGAAUCCAGCUGGCUGUGGUGUACACCUAUAAUCCCAGCACUCUGGGAUGGUGAGGUAGGGGAAUCAUAAGAUUGAGUCCAGCCUGGGCAACUUAGCAAGACCCUGCCUCAAAAUUUUAAAAGGCCCAGGGUUGUAGCUCAAUGCAAAGGCUCUGACUAAGCUCAAUCCCUGUACAAAAAAUAAAAAUAAAUAAAGAAUCAAAGAAUCUAGACGGACAAAGAAGAUGCAAGUUGAGUAGUUCAAGCUUCCCUGCACCAUCUGAUAACAUCACGAUAACAGUUCCAACUUAGGCUGUUUCUUUUACUUCUCGGCCCUUCCUUUUUGCUUCUUUUCUAUGCUUAGAUGCCCUAGUCAUGGAAUCACUUACUCUAAAUUGCCAUGAGGAUCAGAAAAGACUCUAGUAUCACCCUUCACAUUCCUUUUAAUUUUUAUUCCAGUGUCUAUUCAAACCAGAGGAGUAGUAGGUCCAACACAACCUAAGUGGGAAGUAAAGCAGAAAACACAAACCUCAUGAGCAAAGAUCAUUUUUGGCUGCUGCUCAGUUACACCCAAAAUGUUCCCAGUAGUUUUCACAAUAAGUAAUUUACAAUUCAAAUUUAAAGGGUUCAAAUAAUACUCAAAGGCUGAACCCCUUACUAAUAAUACCUGCCUCUCACUUAAACAAUACUAACGAAUACCUAGGUGCGCCAAGGCAGAUUGUCUGCAAGCUUCACCGCUAAUACCUCCUCCCACCCCUGCAUGUCCAUGCCAUUUAUCCCAUCAAUAAGUGGAAUUCAUCUCCUUCCUUUUGAUUUCAGGCUGGCUUUCUGACUCACUGACCAAGAGUGAGAUGGAAGUCAUGUGUUCAGUUCCAGAUCUAGGCUGCAAGACAAACAGCAGCUUUCAUAUCUCAUAUUUGGAACCCAGAUACCAUGAAAUAAGAAAGCUGGUCUAUAUACUAGAGGAAAGGAGACACUGCAGAAGAGAACCAAGGGGCUCGAGUCUCCAGCCAACGUGAGACAUGUGAAACUUUCAUGGGCACUCCCGCGCCAGCUGAACUUAGAAAGUGUCUGCUAUAUUAGUGACACCAGCUGACACCACAUACAACUGAACAACCGGUCAGCAGAGCCCAUUCAACAUAUAAAAAAAACUGUGAGAAAUAAUCUGUGAAUGUUUUAAGUCACUAUGUUUUGAGAAAUUUGUGUGUAAUUUCUACAGAUUAAGGCAAAAAAAGCUGGAUGUUCCAGUUGGAAAUAUGAACUGCAGCAAAAUCAAACAAAAGGGACACUGCAGAAUAUUUUUUCACAAGUGGCAAGUUCUCCAGUGCUACCAGGCAUGAUCCAGCUAAGCCACUCAAAAAUGAAUGACACCUUGUGAAAGCCCAAUUACUGUGUCUGUCAUAUACAACGGUUGUUCAGAGGAUGAUUUGAAGGAUUCCAGUGAGAACAAUCAAUGUCAAGGAGUUGAAGCAGAUGACCUGUGAAAGUAUCAUAUACUUUCUGCUUCUUUUUCUCUCUACCUUGCCUGCACUAUUGUCUUUUCUCCACUCUGCUAAAUCCUAGCCAUGGUAUGAAUAUUUACGUCCCCCAAACUUCAUAGGUUAAAGUCUAAUCACUAGUGUGACAGUGUUAGUGGUAGGGACACUGAGAGGUGAUUAGAUCACGAGGGCACAGUUGUCAAUGCCUGUAUAAAAGCAGCCUCAGAGACCUGCCUUGACUCUUCCACUACACGAAGACACAGCAGAACAGCUACCAUCUAUGAAACAGGACACAGGCCCUCACCGGACAUCAAAUAUGCUAAGUGCCUCUUACACUUUCCAGCCUCUAGAACUGUGAUAAAUAAAUAUUUGUUGUUUAUUGGCUAUCUGG
ensembl:lincRNA